UCUAUUAGGAGCUGUCAGGUGUGUU
rnacentral:piRNA from 1 species